UGGGGAAUAUUGCACAAUGGGCGCAAGCCUGAUGCAGCCAUGCCGCGUGUGUGAAGAAGGCCUUCGGGUUGUAAAGCACUUUCAGCGAGGAGGAAGGUGGUGAACUUAAUACGUUCAUCAAUUGACGUUACUCGCAGAAGAAGCACCGGCUAACUCCGUGCCAGCAGCCGCGGUAAUACGGAGGGUGCAAGCGUUAAUCGGAAUUACUGGGCGUAAAGCGCACGCAGGCGGUUUGUUAAGUCAGAUGUGGAAUCCCCGGGCUCAACCUGGGAACUGCAUUUGAAACUGGCAAGCUAGAGUCUCGUAGAGGGGGUAGAAUUCCAGGUGUAGCGGUGAAAUGCGUAGAGAUCUGGAGGAAUACCGGUGGCGAAGGCGGCCCCCUGGACGAAGACUGACGCUCAGGUGCGAAAGCGUGGGAGCAAACAGGAUUAGAUACCCUGGUAGUCCACGCUGUAAACGAUGUCGAUUUUGGAGGUUGUGCCCUUUGAGGCGUGGCUUCCGGAGCUAACGCGUUAAUCGACCGCCUGGGGAGUACGGCCGCAAGGUUAAAACGUCAAAGGAAUUGACGGGGUCAUAGC
rnacentral:rRNA from 1 species